rnacentral:tRNA from 1 species
AGGGGUGUGGCGCAAUGGUAGCGCAGUGGACUCCAAAUCCAAAGGUUGCAGGUUCGAGUCCUGUCACCCCUG